UUCUUAUAAAAUUUGAUGGCCGGUAAAAGUACAUGUCAACAAGGAAUUAUGCUUUACAUACACGACCUCGGCACUGUCAAGAUUAGUUUGGGCAGCAAGUUUGACAUUUUUUAUAAAAUUCAUCCCAACUCCGUUUUCUAUGAAAUUUGCGGAAUUAGAAAUAUAAUUUCAAGUAGUUUUCUAGGUUAAAAUAUGAGAAUUUUUCCAGAUCAUAAGAUAUGGACGUUUUACUGAAAACAGUGAAAUAUUGCACAGAAAAUUCAGAUUGACCCCUUGACGUUUAAAAAUUUAUAUCUCAGGCCACAAAUAUCCAAAUUGAGUAAUUCUUGCGGCCUUAUUUAGAAAACUCAAAA
rnacentral:lncRNA from 1 species